AAUCUAUCUUUGCAUGGCAUCACUCAGGCACCUCUGUAAAUUAGGACCUGGGUACAAGUCAUUGAGCUUGGAAGAUUAACAGCAGGAGGCGAGAGAGGAAACAGAGCAGUCGAAGCCAGGCGACUCCUCACCCCUCACAGCGUGAGUCAAGAUCGGGCAUCUUGUGUUGAUGAAUCACAAGGAACAUGACAAGACCCAGCACGUGAACACCAGCCAGCUACCGCGGGCUAGGUGAGGGAGGCCUGGUGGGCGGCUUCCUCUACUGGCUGACACUUGGCCAAACAAUUGGAAUUUUUUUUUCUCUCUCUCUCUCUUCUAAACCACAUGCAUUCCUCUGAUUAAAGCGAAAGCAUAACGGGCCUGUAA
rnacentral:lncRNA from 1 species